GCCCUCGUCGUUCAACGGAUAGGAUGCAUCCUUGCGGAGGAUGUGAUGUAGGUUCGAUUCCUGCCGAGGGCACCA
rnacentral:tRNA from 1 species